rnacentral:sRNA from 1 species
CAUCAUCGCCAUUCAACUGAAUAAUCUUUCAGGCUGUUGGCGUGCUUGGAAGAUUUCUUCCGAAGCUGACAAGAUAAAGAUCAAAAAAAUCUUACCCCUCGGAAGGCAACUUUCGAGGGGUUUUGUU